GAAAGAAUUGUCCAUUGGUUGAGAUGUUUUGUGGCGGGUAUCCCAGAUUCGUUGGCAUUUUAUUAGCUCGUGUUGUUGGUUAAGAAAUGGAGUGAAUUUGACGUUGGCAACUGUAAUUAAAUUUGAUUUUGAAGAGAACCGAACACAACUAUGGAUGCGUUGUAUGUUAUUGUACUUGGGUACAACAUCAAAUAGAGUAAAAAUCAAAUUGAGAUGAAAUUUAUAGUUCAUGCAAAAGCUUCUAUUGAAAAUUUAAUUUUUGCUCCUGUAAUGUUGAGGGAGAAAUGGUCUCUAAGAUAUUUAGAUAUAAAAAAAUAAUAUUAUCCUCACUAGGCUUAAGAGAAGUGUGAAAGUAGUGCACAGUUUUGAAGACCUAAUCUAGGUUAUAAUUAAAGGUUACUUGGAAUAAACAUGAAAUGAUUUUGAAGAAAUAAUUGGUUGUACAUGAUUCAUACAUAGAUUGGUGGAAAGAUAUUAUUUUUUGAUUACCAUAGAGGAAUCGGUCUAAUAUAGAUAAUAUAUUGUGUCGCUAUUUCAGAGCUAACAAGCAGGGGGAGUAGCUCAAAUGAUAGAGCCACAGCAUGGCUAAGAUACAAUGCGCUCCGACAGACCACACAGCUCUCGCAACUCACAAGCUGGAGCGACGUCCUCUACGGCCCACUCAACCCUGCUCUUCAUCCAACGAUGAGCCUCACAACCUCAGUUAAAGUCUCCUCGGAUAUCCCAUAGCUCAUACUGAGAUCCUUAAUACUGUGGUACAUUUGGGUCAAUAAAUGCGCGUUUGACAGAGAUCGCGCACCCUACCACACAGGGCUGGUACUAUACAAAGCUUGGACGACGACAAUCCAUAUAGGAAUGGAAGCAUGGAGGGAUAUACACCGACACAACAGCACCCCCGAAACCCAGACAACAAAAAUUAAAAUAUUCACACAACUUUGGACCGUGGGCAACAUAUUCUCAUCAAGGACCGCCAACGACCUCACCUGGCACCUUGUUCCACCUCCAGCCCUGCUCCCCGAAGAUCUUGCGAGACACCCUCAUGUACCGGUAACACGACGGCCAACAUCAACCACCCCGGAUCAUCAAUCUCCGUCUUUACGACGGCCAAUACCAACCACCCCAGAUCAUCAAUCCCCGUCUUCACGACAACCAACACCAACCACCCCAGAUCAUCAAUCGUCGUCUUCUUCUGACAACAUCCUCAGAACAGCCGCAAGUCUAAGAACAUCAACGGACACAGCAACGUCCACCAACGAGGAGCUAAACCUAGGGAUCCAGCAGCUGUUUAAAGAAAUUGAACAAGAAAGGCGCAAUCAAAACGGUCAACAGAUCAUCACACACCCCCAUCCUCCCGAGGCCACCCUCUCCCUACGGCAACAACUCAUACACUAUGCUCGAAAUCACCAAACAGCGACGGCACCAGAUCUGCAACUCUACAUUUACGCGACCAUGGCGUACACGGAUAUAACGGAUGAAGACCUGUUUCGUCUCAUCGACAGCAGUUAUGGCAAUAGGCAAGGCUGGAGAGAGAGGUUAGAACUUCUA
rnacentral:lncRNA from 1 species